rnacentral:piRNA from 1 species
GUCACAUUUCUUCACAUUGACCUUCAGAGC